UGAGGAAUAUUGGUCAAUGGAGGCAACUCUGAACCAGCCAUGCCGCGUGAAGGAUGAAGGUCCUCUGGAUUGUAAACUUCUUUUAUUGGGGAAGAAACCCGCUUUUUCUAAGGCGGUUGACGGUACCCAAGGAAUAAGCACCGGCUAACUCCGUGCCAGCAGCCGCGGUAAUACGGAGGGUGCGAGCGUUAUCCGGAUUCACUGGGUUUAAAGGGUGCGUAGGUGGGUUGGUAAGUCAGUGGUGAAAUCCUCGAGCUUAACUCGAGAACUGCCGUUGAUACUACCAGUCUUGAAUUCUGUGGAGGUAAGCGGAAUAUGUCAUGUAGCGGUGAAAUGCUUAGAUAUGACAUAGAACACCGAUAGCGAAGGCAGCUUACUACGCAGAUAUUGACACUGAGGCACGAAAGCGUGGGGAUCAAACA
rnacentral:rRNA from 1 species